GAAUUUUAUAUAAAUUGUAUAGUUUUAAUUUAUAAAUAUAAAUUUAUUUAUAAAUAUACAUUUUAUAUUUUGUUGGGAGGAUAAUUAAAUUUGAUAAACUUUAAUUUUAAUUAAGAUAUUAAUUGAUAAUAAAUAUUGUAAUAAAAGAAAGGUUAAAUAAAUUAAAUAAGAAUUAAUUACCUUAGGGAUAACAGCACAAAAUUUUUAGAAAGAUCUUAUUAAUAAAAAUAUUUGU
rnacentral:rRNA from 1 species